UUGAGAGGAAUACAGCAAAGAACAUACUGAAGUGGGUGAAGCAGAAAGCUGAACAGGCACUACAGGGACGAGAUAAACGUGAAGUUCUGCGAGUGUGUCAGUGGCUCUAUGAGACUCAGAAUAAGAGAUUAAUUAGAGAUGCCAUUGGGAAGGAUUUAAAGAUGAACUUUAGUAAAAUGACUUUAUCUCCUCUGGACUGUGCUGUGCUGGGCUCUGUCAUCAGCUGCUGUGGAGAACUUGAGGAGCUCAACCUGUUUGAGACACCGAUCACCCCAGAGUGCAUCAGGAGACUGGUGCCGGGGCUCAUCUGCUGCAGACGUGUCAUCCUGUCUCGUUGUGGUUUCACCUCCACAUGCUGCUCAGCUCUCUCCUCAGCUCUUUCUUCUCCACACUCACGACUGACUGAACUGGACCUGAGCA